CAAAACAAGUCAAAAAUAGUUUUGUCCUGCUCUACACCAGUUAAUAAGUAGAUCUGACUCCUAUAGAUCUUUCUCGCUUCCAACCGUUAUGGAAAAUUCUAGAAUGAUGACGAUGCGUAGGCUAUAUAAAGGCGAAUACACGAGGGCCGGGGAACAUUUCAUAUAUCUUAGGUCUGUCGUGCAGGUCUAUUUCAUUGUAUAAAAAAUAAUAAUAAUAAAAUUAGGAAAUACUAUAUUUAUGGAAGAAAGUGCAAAACGAAUAGUUAAAAUGUGUGAAAAUAAAGGAAAAACGGUUAACUGUGCCAGAACGAGCCUGAAAUUGCAGAUGAAAUAUCAAUUACGGCCGAGAUAAGGAAAACAAAAUGGCGACGUUUUCGCCAUGGUUUAUGAAUUACGCAGUUGUCUAAUUGAGAAUAAUGUAGUCGACAUCCGAUAAGUACGAUGUGUAAAGAAAGGAAUUUGAACAAGGAAUGAAAAUACGUAAAGGAAAGCGUUACCUACCGAUCGAUGGUUUUGUACUCGUUUUAAACUCGUGACGACCUCGGCAUCUACAAAAUUUUUGCUUCAGACUACAUGUAGUUCCGUGUCUAUUCUUGAUCAUUUGUUUUACCUAUCGUUGGCGUUGAGGGUCCAGGCAGGUUCCAGAUUUCGUUCCUCAAAAUAAUUUCGAGUCAAAGAAAAAAAAAAGUUUAUUGCCAGUUAAAGAUAUGUAUGAAACAGUAAAUAAGUAUAUGUAGUUAUAAUUAACUUUUAUAUGAAGGUAGAAUAUUUUAAUUCCCCUAUAAGAAUUAAACUUUUCUAAUCUAAUGAAUAUAUAUCCUGUAAUAAUUUCAAAUAAUUUUCCUAUCUAUCUACCACCUAAAUGGUGUUAAUUUAAUAGCUUAGCCUCGUGUUUGUAAAAUUUAAAAAUAUUACAUUUUAACUACUGCCGUGGUAUUUUUGGUAUUUACUUACAAUAUCCCUAGACCCUUUUCAGAUUGUUUUAAAAAUAAACUUUGCAUGAUUUUUUCAACAGUCACCACAAAAUUACGAUUGAUUUCAUCUAAUUGUUUAUUGGAGCAGAUGGAAAAUUUCGUCUUAUAGUAAUUGACUUCAUCAACUUCUUUAAUGGACCAAAUUAAAGAUUUCGUCAUAUUUUCAUCUGUCGCGAAAUAAUGAGUAAUCGUGAACGACGUCAUCUAUGGACCAACUCAAAGAUUUCAUCAUAUUUGCAACAAUCUUAAAAUACAUGGAGCAAUGACUUCAUCAUUAUUUGGUGAGUCAAAUGAGUCAGCUAGUGAUAAUUUUACACAGAUUCAAAAAUAUACAUCGGUUGAAGAAAAUUAACAUUGAAACUGUCUCUACGAGAUUUUGAAGUUGCUGCCUAUUUCGAAAAAUUAAUAUUAUUGGGGAGUCUAAUAAAAUCAAAUUUACACUUACAGCACAAUUUUAUUUUAUGGGUUUUCUAUCUAUGGUCAUUUUUCUUGAAUUGAAAAAAAAUAACCAGAUGGCAAGACUUCAACUUUUCUCAAAGAUCACUCAUGAUAUGGCUACAUUUGCUACUGAAAAUGAAACAUUUAUUUAUCCUAUAUCUCGGAGCCUAAGUCCCGUAAUUAUUGUUGUAAACGAAUUAAUUCUUCGAAUAUUCUGAGGAAACUCCUCCAGACAGAACCGAUAGUUUUAAAAUUUUAAAUUUUGGGAAAAAUUUUAAAUGUACCUGAGUACAGAGUUUACUAAUAUUUACAGUAUUUUAUUACGAGACUUAGCGCCUAUCUACUUGUGUUAGUGGCUGUACACAGCCCAAACACAAUCGAACGAAUUUCUAUAGUUUCGAAGAUUCGAGAGCCAGAUUCUAUUUGAAACGAGCCGAGGUCGAGACAGUAACGGAAAUAGAUGCAGUAAGUAAUUUUGAAAAAAGGUAACAAUAGUGUUAGGCAAUUUUAGAUUAAAUUGUUAACGGUACAAUCUUCCGGUAGGAUGUUAUAAUAGGUAUAAAGUGCCUGUAAAGGGACCAAAAGCGUAACAUUGUUUCAAUGUAUUGUAGGUGCGACAAAUCAGAUUUACCUAUAUAUAGGAUUUCAGUGUGAACUUAAGUUAUUGACUUAUUUACGGCUUAUUUAUUAUUAUGGUAAUUAGAUAGUACCUAAUUUAAAGUAAAUAUGUAUAAUAAGCAUGUAGUGUAAGUAAUCAUUUUUAGAAUGGUCAUUGUUUAAUGGAGGAAAGAAAGAAGAAUGAGACUAGAUAUUGUAAUUUUUUUGAAACAAUUAUUUAAGAGGUAGAAAAUUAUAUAGCCAUUUUGUUUUUUGAAAUUACUGCGUUGUACAUUUACCUAGUACAUUUUUAGAUUAUAAACUUCGUCAAAUUACUAUAAUUGCAAACAUCCACUAGACAUUGGUUUGAUAUUUCUGAUAACAAAAGACCAAUACUGAACUGAGUUUCUUUCGGCGUUUCUUCUCAGCAGUGGUCUCUCCGAAACGCUGGUAGAUUCACUAAAUCAUUAUCUAAAAGUUUUGCUAAAAUAUUCAAUUAAAAUUAAUAAACCAAAAUAAAAUAAAAUUUAUAAUUUGACUAAAUGCGUGAAAAAUACUAUAAUAAUAAAUAUCAAGUCUAGUGGGUUGAUAAUAAUCAUAAAAUCAUGAAAAUAAAUUUAAUUCAUACAUUUAAUUUGAAAGAUAGAAACCUAUAGGUAAUGCCUACUUAGGUAGGUACAAUAUAAACAAAAUGUCUAGUGCCGGAUUCUUAGGUUAGCAACUAGUUAAAUUGUCCAUGAAGUUUUCGUAACAUAGCAAUAUAUACCGAAGAUAUAUUUUUUUAAAUAACUAGGUACACCCACUGGUACUGAUAGUAAAAAAGGACAAAAAAUGUGAAAAGGACAAAAAAUGUGAAUUGGACAAAGUGCAAAAAGAUCAAUGGAUCUCCAAGAUGGAUUUUAGUGGACGUAGGGUGACUUGAGUAGAAGAUAAAAAAUAAGAAUACAACUACUAGACUAUCACACAGAUUGGAUUAGCCCACAAUGUAUGUUUACGGUGUGUGCGGAAUUAUUAGUGGUCGGCACGUGCAGAUUCAUUGGAGUAAUAUAAGACGAACCUUUUUGGUUGAAGACUAGAAAAUGUAGAAAAAUAUAUAACAAAAUUGGGUAUAUUAAUAUAACUAGCAGGCUAUGGUGAAACCAUAAUAAAUUAUUGAUACACCUAAAGCUUCCUCUAGAAUCACUAAUUUAUUAAAAACCGGCAUCAAAACACGUUGCGUAGUUACAGACAGCGGGGAGCGACUUUGAAGUAUGUAGUGAUAAUAAAUAGAAUUAGUAUGCGUUAUAAUAAGUGGAUAAUGUGCAUAUAAAUGUGUUUUUUGCUAUCUGCUAGGAGUUGGAAUUCUAAAUUGCCAUUUUUUGUUCAGAUACUUACCGCUUAAGUGUUUGAUUUGAUUGUGAUUUUGUUCAUUUGAACAUAAAAUUAAUAUUAAUGUCAAUAUUUUAGCCUUUUCAUGGAAUUACCGAGAAACUCCCCCCUUCCAAGUUUUGUUUGUUCGUAAUGUUUCAGCUUCUUGCGUUACUAACAAUUUCUCUAGUAUGUGGUUAGGUAACACAAUGCUUUUUUUGUUUUUCAAUUUCAUAUCUGAAGACAAAAAAUUCUAAUACAAAAAAUACAUAUUCUUCGACAACAUGUCUUUGCAUAUCCAUAAAUUGUAAUUUUGCCUUUUAUUUUCUUUUGCUUACAAAAAGAGAAAUAAUUUAUUUUUGCUCUUUAAAGCAUGGUUAAUUCAUGGUUAAUUGCAGUAAAUAAACUUUUUAUUUAUAUAUAAGCACCAUAAAAUUUACAACAUAUGCGUAUUGGGCUUCUGCGGAAAGACAUUAACGGUUUUUCAUGCCCUAAAAUAUAGUUUUACUAAAACUAAAAAGGAAUAGAUACAAUAAGUACCUUUUUGUUAGUAUUAAUGUUAUGUGAUUGCUUUUAGUAAUGUCGUAGGAAAUUGUAAAAACAUAAUAUUAGUAUAUUUGUUGUCAGCACUUAAAAGCAUGAUCCUUUACCUGUAUGAUUAUUUAUCGGGGAACUAAUGUGUUUCUGGUUUUAGUUUAUGGUUCGUAUGACUGGCUUUGGGACAUGUAAAAACCUUUUCAAUCGUGUAAAUCGCAAUCUGUAAAUAACAAGGCUGGUUUGUUACACUCGUGCUUUGAUGGGAUGAUUUAUUGGUACAGACGAUGCAUAUGAGUUUGUAGUUGCAAAGUUUACAUAAAUACAGGAAUUAUUUUGAAAGAGAAAUAAUCCUAAAAUAUAUAAAGAAAAUAAAAUUACAACAAUCGUGACUAUAUGUAGUAAUAAGUUUAAUUAUUGGAAUAGUUAAGUGUAUUAACUAAACAAACAAUAAUUAUAAUUAUAGGUAGGAAUACUUCGGUUUGAUAUAUGAAAAAGUGGCAAAGAUGUUUGUGAAUAUCUGAACAAUAACAUACAAAUAAUAAUGAAAUAUUAAUGAGUCCAUUACAAUUUAUAGAACUCGUACCAGGUAAUGUUGAAGACUGGAAAUAAAACAAGAAAAGACCGGAAAGUAUGAUUCAAUCAUUAGGUGUCUUAUUUUCUAAGGGACAUGGGAUUCGAGCUUCGUUUUAAAAUGUUGUUGCUUACUUUGGUGAUUAAAGUUGGUUUGAUUUUUGGCUAUGUAUACAUUUACAAAUUUAAUAAAGAUGGAAAUAUAUUGAUUAUAUUUGAUGAACCUAAAACUAGAAGCUAUGUACAUAUUUACAAAGAUGUGGAAGAAUGUUUCUAAAUAUCUGAAAGCACGAUAGAACCGAUAUUGCUAUUGUAAAAAUGGCUAUGAAACGUAUGAGGGUUCCUGAAAACAAAAGUUGAAUUAUGAGAUAUUAGAUUAUGAUAUUGGUGGAAGAAUUUUAAAUUAUGACAUGUUAACAUAAUUAAAUACCUAUCAAGCCAGUAAUAAAUCCAUUCAAAACCAGGUGGACUAUUUAGUGAUAUUGAGAAAUA